rnacentral:rRNA from 1 species
GACAGAGGCCUCGAGCGUUAGGCGGAAUCACUGGGCUUAAAGCGUGUGUAGGCGGGCCCGUAAGUGUCUUGUUAAAUCCCACGGCUCAACCGUGGAACUGCUGGGCAUACUGCGGGUCUUGGGCCAACUAGGGGCAGCCGGAACAAGCGGUGGAGCGGUGAAAUGCGUAGAUAUCGCUUGGAACGCCGAAGGUGAAAACAGGCUGCUGGGGUUGCGCCGACGCUGAGACACGAAAGCCAGGGGAGCAAACAGG